GGUCUUAUAGUUUAAUAAAAACUUUAAAUUGCAAAUUUAAAGAUGUUUGAGUGAAAUAUUUCUAAGACUU
rnacentral:tRNA from 1 species